GCCCUGUUGCUCGCGGCUUGCGCAACCCUGAGCCCCAGCACCCGCGAGGAGCAGCCCCGGAGUCCGCGCCCCGGCUCGGCUGCCCGCUGCAGGCGUGACCUCGGGCUAGGUUCCCUGCUGAACCCCACCUUCUCCACUUCCACAGACAGCCGGAAGCACGCAAACGCGGCGGCGGGGCGGGGCCAAGGGGCGCCAUUGUGAAGGCCGGAAGCGGAGCCGAGGAUUGGUCUGCUGGGAAUAAACACAAUAAAGGUGUGUGCCCACAGUUCUCCCUUCCUCUGCCUUGUGACCGACCUGGUACUUACCCUGAGUAGCCCUGGGUGACAUGCUGUGCACACCCCCCUCCACUCCUGGAAGAGUUUAUGACUUCUGAUGACAACCUACAGUAAACGCCUUCCUUUUGUCCUCUAAGUGAGCGGGUCACCUGACUCAAUCCACAACGCUUGACCACAGGUAUCGAAUCUGCAUAAUCUACUGAAAUCUGUAAAUGCAUUUUGAUGUUUCCUGGAAAUGUGAGCUAUAAACGCUUCAUUUCCUAUUGGGGUGACAUAGAGUCUCAAAGCUGGCUUUUAUUCAUCCCGCCCAAACCUGAUAGAGGCCCUGUUUCUGUCUGAGCCCCUCUGAACAUGGCUCUUCCUGGUGUUGAACAUACUUGAACAACUGUGCCUCUUAAAUGUGCCUUUAUGUUUACAGACUCUUAGAGGAUGUCGAAAAUCUCACUUUUGCUCUCUGUUCAUGCUUAUAAUAGUUACUAGAGUUCCUCCUAAGAAUUAAUAAAGGCAAUUAUCUAUUAAUUUCAAAGUGGUUUACUUAAAAAAGUUAUUAGCUUUCAUUUAUUUAUCUAUUAAUUCAACAUACUCAAGUCUUCUUCAGGCAGGAGACCAUGCAGCUACUCUGGACACAACAUGAACUCAGCUAAACUCCAUCCCUGCUCUUGAUUAUUGGUAAGCAACAAAGGCAUUUAACCCUUAUUAAAUAAAACCGGAUAAUUCUACUUAAAACACACAUGAACAACUACAAAAAAAGUUUCUAGCAAUCAGCAAAUUCUUGAGAACUUAGAGUUCUGUGGUUAACAGUAUGCAAGAUGAAGCAAAUUAAAUUGUUCUGUCCUUGCAUUUAGAGAGUUUACCACCAACGCGAGGGAUUUGUACUCUAUUCUGAAAAAGCAUAACAUAUGAUAAUCUGAUAAGACAUCCAUUAUGCUUUUGGAGAAAAUAAUAAAAAUUCUAAGGAGCAACGUGUAGGUGAAAGGACCGAGAAUAGGAUAUUCAAUUAAAUCACAUAGUACUAAAAUAAAAAGAUGACCAUAAAAACAACACAACUCCAAUCAAUCCUUAAGCACCUGUUAGGAACCCUAAACUAUAUUAACAACCAUAAAUAAAAGCUAACAGCUAGAGGGAAAGUCAAGAGCAAACCUUGAUGAUUCCUUGCAUUGCUCCUUUGUACUUCUGUCCCUGAAAUUUCAAAUCUCUGUGCUAUUCACAAAUGAGACCACUUUUUAAAAGCUGCUUUCAAAUCCUAGGUGUUGGAUUACAGUGACUUCAGUGUGAAAUGAUCCAUUUUGAAAUAAAAUUUCAGGGAUGGCAAAUGGAGUAAGAGGAAGACUCCUGUGCCUCUCUUCAGAAUAUUUCACCCACAGAGUUAGAGUGGAUGGUUAACCUAUCAGAAGGCUACACUUGCUUCAGUAUACAAGUGAACUUCCUAAAGGAAAUUGAAGCUUAUCCUGAAGAAAUUAGAAUGAGUAUUUACCACAUGGAAGACUUAGGUAACAAGUUCUAACCCUCCAGGCAGAGUGGAGAGAGGCAGUGGCUUAGAGCAGAGCCAGAGCCAGGGAACAGUCCUUUCAGAGUGGCAGGUGAAGAUAGUAGGAUUUCAGAGUUUCACUUCUGUUAGUUUAAAGCUGCACUGUGUGAUAAGGGGGCCAUUGAGCCCCACAUGGCUGUUGAGCACUUACAAUGUGGCUAGUGCAACUGAGAACCAUUUUAAUUAUGGUAGAACACACACAGUCUUAACCAUAAAGUUCAGUAGUGUUAAGCACAUUCAGGGCUGUGCAACCUAUCUCCAUAAUUCUUUCCAUCUUGAAAACCUGAAGCUCUAUCUUUUAAAGCAACAGCUGCCCCUUCUCACCUUACCCCCAAGUCCUUGGCCAUGCCACCAUUCUACUUUCUGGCUCUCUAACUACUAUUGAUACCUCACGUAAUUGGAAUCAUGCAGUACUUGUCUUUUUGUUUCUGGCUCAUUUCACGCAGCAUAAUGUACUUAAGGUUCAUCCAUGUUGUGGUAUGUCUACAAAUUUCCUUCCUUUUUAGGGUUCAAUAAUAUCCCACUGUCUGCAUACACCUCAUUUUGUUUAUUCAUCUGAUAUUGAGCACUUGGAUUGCUGCCACCUUCUGACUAUUGUAAAUAACGCUGUUAUGAACACUGUUGUACAAAUAUCACUGACACUGAUAUCAGUUCUUUUGGGUAUAUAUCCAGAAGUGGAAUUGCUGGGUCAUACGGUAAUUCUUUUAAG